AGCAUACAAGGCAUACGGCUCAGUAACGCGUGGUCAACCUAACCUAUGGACGGGAAUAACCUCGGGAAACUGGGAAUAAUGCCCGAUAGAACAUUAUGCCUGGAAUGGUUUAUGUUCCAAAUGAUUUAUCGCCGUAGGAUGGGACUGCGGCCUAUCAGUUUGUCGGUGAGGUAAUGGCCCACCAAGACUAUUACAGGUACGGGCUCUGAGAGGAGUAGCCCGGAGAUGGGUACUGAGACACGGACCCAGGCCCUAUGGGGCGCAGCAGGCGAGAAAACUUUGCAAUGUGCGAAAGCACGACAAGGUUAAUCCGAGUGGUUUCUGCUAAAGAAACCUUUUGUCAGUCCUAGAAACACUGAUGAAUAAGGGGUGGGCAAGUUCUGGUGUCAGCCGCCGCGGUAAAACCAGCACCUCAAGUGGUCAGGAUGAUUAUUGGGCCUAAAGCAUCCGUAGCCGGCUCUGUAAGUUUUCGGUUAAAUCUGUACGCUCAACGUACAGGCUGCCGGGAAUACUGCAGAGCUAGGGAGUGGGAGAGGUAGACGGUACUCGGUAGGAAGGGGUAAAAUCCUUUGAUCUAUUGAUGACCACCUGUGGCGAAGGCGGUCUACCAGAACACGUCCGACGGUGAGGGAUGAAAGCUGGGGGAGCAAACCGGAUUAGAUACCCGGGUAGUCCCAGCUGUAAACUAUGCAAACUCAGUGAUGCAUUGGCUUGUGGCCAAUGCAGUGCUGCAGGGAAGCCGUUAAGUUUGCCGCCUGGGAAGUACGUACGCAAGUAUGAAACUUAAAGGAAUUGGCGGGGGAGCACCACAAGGGGUGAAGCCUGCGGUUCAAUUGGAGUCAACGCCGGG
rnacentral:rRNA from 1 species